rnacentral:rRNA from 1 species
AUUGAACGCUGGCGGCAUGCCUUACACAUGCAAGUCGAACGGUAACGCGGGGCAACCUGGCGACGAGUGGCGAACGGGUGAGUAAUAUAUCGGAACGUGCCCAGUUGUGGGGGAUAACUACUCGAAAGAGUAGCUAAUACCGCAUACGACCUGAGGGUGAAAGCGGGGGAUCGCAAGACCUCGCGCAAUUGGAGCGGCCGAUAUCAGAUUAGCUAGUUGGCGGGGUAAAAGCCCACCAAGGCGACGAUCUGUAGCUGGUCUGAGAGGACGACCAGCCACACUGGGACUGAGACACGGCCCAGACUCCUACGGGUGGCUG